rnacentral:rRNA from 1 species
UGGGGAAUAUUGGACAAUGGGCGCAAGCCUGAUCCAGCCAUGCCGCGUGAGUGACGAAGGUCUUCGGAUUGUAAAGCUCUUUUGGCGGGGACGAUAAUGACGGUACCCGCAGAAUAAGCCCCGGCUAACUUCGUGCCAGCAGCCGCGGUAAUACGAAGGGGGCUAGCGUUGUUCGGAAUUACUGGGCGUAAAGCGCACGUAGGCGGACUCUUAAGUCAGGGGUGAAAUCCCGGGGCUCAACCUCGGAACUGCCUUUGAUACUGUGAGUCUCGAGACCGGAAGAGGUGAGUGGAAUUCCUAGUGUAGAGGUGAAAUUCGUAGAUAUUAGGAAGAACACCAGUGGCGAAGGCGGCUCACUGGUCCGGAUCUGACGCUGAGGUGCGAAAGCGUGGGGAGCAAACAGG